rnacentral:rRNA from 1 species
UACAGAGGAGCCAAGCGUUGUCCGGAUUGACUGGGCGUAAAGCGCGCGCAGGCGGAUGCGCGCGUGGGGUGUGAAAUCUGGCCGCUUAACGGCCAGGCGCCAUCCCAUACGGCGCGUCUGGAGUGAUGCAGAGGUCGAUGGAAUUGCCGGUGUAGUGGUGAAAUGCGUAGAGAUCGGCAGGAACACCCAGGGGGAAACCAGUCGACUGGGCAUCUACUGACGCUGAGGUGCGAGAGCGUGGGGAGCGAACCGG